GACGAACGCUGGCGGCGUGCCUAAUACAUGCAAGUAGAACGCUGACGCUUGGUGCUUGCACCGAGCGGAUGAGAUGCGGACGGGUGAGUAACGCGUAGGUAACCUGCCUGGUAGCGGGGGAUAACUAUUGGAAACGAUAGCUAAUACCGCAUAACAGUAGAUAUCGCAUGAUAGCUACGUGAAAGGAGCAAAUGCACCACUAACAGAUGGACCUGCGUUGUGUUAGCUAGGUGGUGAGGUAAGGGCUCACCGAGGCUACGAUCCGUAGCCGACCUGAGAGGGUGCUCGGCCUCGCUGGGACUGGGACACGGCCCAGACCCCUACGGCUGGCAGCCGUAGGGAAUCUCUGGGGAUGGACGGAAGGCGGAACGUUCGACGCCGCGUGAGUGCAUAAGGUUGUCGGAUCGUAAAGCUCUUUUGGAAGUUAAGAUCGAGUGUGAGUGUUGAAAGUUCACACUGUGACGGUACCUGACCAGAAAGGUACGGCUAACUACGUG
rnacentral:rRNA from 1 species